CAGAGUUUGAAAACAAGGAUUCUCUUUUCCUGACAAGUCUCUAUUUGGAUAAGAGACCUUUCAAGUAUAAAUUUGGAUGGGCAAUUCGGUGCUUCCAACUUUGCAGAAACGGGGUGUGGCCAGGCUCUAAGCUUCAAGAGGACCUUCUAAAAGUUCCGGUUUUCUGAACAUUGUAUCCUGUGUGUAAGAGACCUCUCUUCAGUCAAGUCUGGACCCAGUCAGACGCCAGUCUUAAGGAUAAUUGAUGAGAGAUCAUGCCAGUCCAUAUUGAAAUAGUGACUACAUGCAAGACUUCAAGCAGUACUACAUUUCAAGUUUGGAACAUACACAGUCCUGUGUCUUCCGUCAAGUGUGGGCUCAAUACUAUUGUUCAACCAGAGCAAGCAGCCCUGAUGGAUGUACAG